rnacentral:rRNA from 1 species
GCCGAUGGUACUAUGUCUCAAGACCUGGGAGAGUAGGUCGCUGCCAGGC